rnacentral:rRNA from 1 species
UACGUAGGGGCUAGCGUUAUCCGGAAUUAUUGGGCGUAAAGAGCGCGCAGGUGGUUGAUUAAGUCUGAUGUGAAAGCCCACGGCUCAACCGUGGAAGGUCAUUGGAAACUGGGUCACUUGAAUAUAGAAGAGGAAAGUGGAAUUCCAUGUGUAGCGGUGAAAUGCGUAGAUAUAUGGAGGAACACCAGUGGCGAAGGCGACUUCUGGUCUAUUAUUGACGCUGAGGCUCGAAAGCAUGGGUAGGCAAACAGGAUUAGAUA